rnacentral:lncRNA from 1 species
CGGCAAGGGCUGCCCCACUCACUGAUCUUCUUAAGAAGAAUAAGGCAUGGGAAUGGGAUGGAAGGUGCCAACAAGCCUUUGAGGAUCUAAAGAAGGCUGUGACUGAGGAGCCAGUGUUGGUACUACCCGACCACACCAAGGUCUUUGAGGUACACACAGAUGCCUCAGACUUCGCUAUUGGGGGAGUCCUUAUGCAAGAGAGGCACCCAAUCGCAUUUGAGAGUCGCAAGCUAAACGACGCGGAGAGGCGUUACACGGUGCAAGAAAAAGAGAUGACUGCUAUCGUCCACUGCUUACGCACCUGGAGGCACUAUCUACUAGGGUCUCACUUCAUAGUGAAGACCGACAAUGUGGCCACUAGCUACUUCCAGACUCAGAAGAAGCUGAGUCCUAAACAAGCUAGGUGGCAAGACUUCUUGGCCGAGUUCGACUAUACGCUGGAGUAUAAGCCAGGAAGUGCUAACCAUGUGGCCGACGCCCUAAGUCGCAAAGCCGAGCUAGCGUCCAUGACGAGUCAGCCCCAAGGAGAUAUAGUGAGUCUUCUAAGGGAGGGACUGCAACAUGAUCCAGUGGCUAAGAGCCUUAUCGCCCUGGCUCAUGAAGGAAAAACUAAGCGGUUUUGGGUGGAGGACGGCCUACUCUAUACAAAGGGGAGACGACUCUACGUGCCUAAGUGGGGGAACAUAAGGAGGAACCUGAUUAAAGAGUGCCACGACACCAAGUGGGCGGGGCACCCUGGGCAACGACGCACUAGGGCACUACUCGAGUCGGCUUACUAUUGGCCUCAGAUACGGGACGAGGUUGAGGCCUAUGUGAGGACUUGUCUUGUGUGCCAACAAGACAAGGUGGAACAGCGACAACCUAGAGGCCUGUUAGAGCCACUACCGGUAGCAGAACGCCCAUGGGACAGCGUCACCAUGGACUUCAUCAUCGGGCUACCUAAGUCAGAGGACAGCGGCUCUAUCAUAGUGGUGGUGGACAGGUUCUCUAAGUAUGCAACCUUCAUAGCAGCCCCGACUGACUGCACGGCGGAAGAGACGGCGAGGCUAUUCCUAAAGCACGUAGUCAAGUAUUGGGGGUUGCCUAAGUUCAUCAUCAGUGAUCGCGACCCACGCUUCACUGGGAAGUUUUGGACGGAGCUCUUCAAGCUUAUGGGUUCGGAGCUUCACUUCUCCACCAGCUUUCACCCACAGACAGAUGGGCAGACUGAAAGGGUGAACGCCUUGCUGGAGCUAUACUUGAGGCACUUUGUGAGUGCCAACCAGAGGGAUUGGGCUAAGUUGCUAGAUAUAGCCCAGUUCUCAUACAACUUGCAAAAGAGUGAGGCGACCAACAAGAGCCCGUUCGAGUUAGCCACAGGGCAGCAACCCUUAACUCCUCACACGCUAACGAUAGGCUACACGGGGAGAAGUCCAGCGGCUUUCAAGUUCGCGAAGGGGUGGCAUGAGCAAGCUGACAUAGCCCGCUCAUACUUAGACAAGGCCGCUAAGAAAAUGAAGAAGUGGGCUGACAAGAAGCGACGACACAUAGAGUACAAGGUCGGAGACAUGGUGCUUGUCAAGCUCCUUCCUCAACAAUUCAAGUCCCUAAGGCCGGUGCAUAAGGGCCUUGUGAGGAAGUAUGAAGGACCCUUCCCCAUACUUGGGAAGGUUGGCAAGGUGUCCUAUAAAGUCGAGCUGCCCCCGAGGUUGAAGAUCCAUCCUGUCUUCCACGCAAGCUA